GCCCAGACGAUGCGUGGCCCAAAAGCGCCGGCCUUGAGAGCCGGUGGCCCUUCUGGGUCUCAAGGGUUCAAAUCCCUUUCCCGGCGCCA
rnacentral:tRNA from 1 species